rnacentral:rRNA from 1 species
CAGCCGCCGCGGGAAAACGAAGGGUGCAAGCGUUAAUCGGAAUUACUGGGCGUAGAGCGUGCGUAGGUGGUGGUUUAAGUCCGUUGUGAAAGCCCUGGGCUCAACCUGGGAAUUGCAGUGGAUACUGGGUCACUAGAGUGUGGUAGAGGAUAGUGGAAUUUCCGGUGUAGCAGUGAAAUGCGUAGAGAUCGGAAGGAACAUCUGUGGCGAAGGCGACUAUCUGGGCCAACACUGACACUGAGGCACGAAAGCGUGGGGAGCAAACAGGAUUAGAUACCCGAGUAGUCCCUGUCUCUUAUAC